GACGAACGCUGGCGGCGUGCCUAAUACAUGCAAGUCGAGCGAAUCUUUAGGAGCUUGCUCCUGAAGGUUAGCGGCGGACGGGUGAGUAACACGUGGGCAACCUGCCUGUAAGACUGGGAUAACACCGGGAAACCGGUGCUAAUACCGGAUAAUUCUUUCCCUCACAUGAGGGAAAGCUGAAAGUCGGUUUCGGCUGACACUUACAGAUGGGCCCGCGGCGCAUUAGCUAGUUGGGGAGGUAACGGCUCACCAAGGCGACGAUGCGUAGCCGACCUAAGAGGGUGAUCGGCCACACUGGGACUGAGACACGGCCCAGACUCCUACGGGAGGCAGCAGUAGGGAAUCUUCCGCAAUGGACGAAAGUCUGACGGAGCAACGCCGCGUGAGUGAUGAAGGCCUUCGGGUCGUAAAACUCUGUUGUUAGGGAAGAACAAGUAUCGGAGUAACUGCCGGUACCUUGACGGUACCUAACCAGAAAGCCACGGCUAACUACGUGCCAGCCGCCGCAGUAACAC
rnacentral:rRNA from 1 species